rnacentral:sRNA from 10 species
GGGAUUCGUCAGACAAAAUCUCUCACACUAUCCCUCUCCACCAUUAAGAUUCUUUCCGAAUUUCAUGCAUUGCUACAGGAAAGUGAAAUACCAUAUACUGAUUUAAAGAUUCUAAACCUGAGAAUUGAGGGGGAAUGUGAGAAUUUUGACAUACCUCGUAACGUCCUGUACCACUUUUGCAAGAGCUCAACUUCAUUGGAGAUAUGCUGAUGUUGAAAGGGAUAUACAUUGCGGAGUAGCAGGAAGAAAUGGCAGUUUUUCAACAUUGCUUUGGUAUUGAUUCUGGAUGUAACCUUGGAUUGAAUGUAAUCAUUAUGAAAACAUGGUUGAUGAGAUCAAAACAACAUUUAAGAUUGUAAUCAUAAGUAGACAAGUACUAUAGUAUGUUUCUGAAUUUGUAAGGGUCCUUUUUGGUUUUGUUUGAACUUUUUGUAGCUCUGGAUGGGGAAGGUGGAGGCUUUGUGCUUUCAUGUGCACCGUCAGUUACUGCUCUGCUGCGAUUUUAUUUCUAACGAAUGAAAAUUCCAGUACAAUAACAUGUUCA